rnacentral:misc_RNA from 1 species
UACAGAGACUGCAAGCGUUAUUCGGAUUCACUGGGCGUAAAGGGUGCGCAGGCGGCUUAGUGUGUGAGGCGUGAAAGCCCGGGGCUUAACCCCGGAAUUGCACCUCAAACUACCGAGCUAGAGCAUUGGAGAGGGUAGCAGAAUUCAUGGUGUAGCAGUGAAAUGCGUAGAUAUCAUGAGGAAUACCAGAGGCGAAGGCGGCUACCUGGACAAUUGCUGACGCUCAGGCACGAAAGCGUGGGGAGCAAAAGGG